rnacentral:tRNA from 2 species
GGAAUAGUGGUGUACAUGGUGUGCACGCCUGUUUGAAGAGCAGGAGGGAACCGUUCGAUUCGGUUCUGUUCCA